rnacentral:rRNA from 1 species
UACGUAGGGUGCGAGCGUUGUCCGGAAUUACUGGGCGUAAAGAGCUCGUAGGCGGUUUGGUAAGUCUGGUGUGAAAUCUCCACGCUCAACGUGGAGGGGCCACCCGAUACUGCCAUGACUGGAGUCCGGUAGAGGAGUGUGGAAUUCCCGGUGUAGCGGUGAAAUGCGCAGAUAUCAGGAGGAACACCGGCGGUGUAGACGGCUCUCUGGACCGUUACUGACGCUGAGAUACGAAAGCGUGGGUAGCAAACAGG